AGUCCUCCCACGUCGUCUUGAGAUAGAACCGUCAAGGCACCGGGAUCCUUGUGUCUACCAACACCAAGGGCUAGGUCAGGGGCAGGGCAGGGAGGAUAGUGAUUGAGCCGGAUCAAGCUGGUCGAGUCUUUGAAGAAUCCACUGAACCGGUUUGCUUCCAAGCCUAAGCUCAAGGCUAUGAAUUCCAUUAAUUUGUAACACAAUUUUUCCACUUCUUGAGCAUAUUUUUCGCAUACCUCCCUGAUUCAAGAAAUCUAUUAGAUACUAUUGGCAUUUAAUUUGACAUUAAAAAAUGUUUUUUUUUUUUGGCAAAAUCUGGACAAUAAUAAUAUAAAUGUACGGAGGGAAAUACAAUUUUAAAUUAAUUAGUUUUUUUGCCGAAUUUUUAUAUAAAUGAGGGACAAAUGGAGUAGCUAGCUAGUUGAACACAUUACCUCAACUCCGGUGGAUAAUCCGGCCAUUUAUUAACCACCUCUUUCACAGCCGUGUCAUCAGGAUCAAGAGACGCCGGCAACAAAGUCGGAAUCCUCACGGGAAAAUCAAACACUUCUUUCCAAUCCCUAACAUUUUUGGUAUGCUCGGUAUCAUAAUAACCCAUCGGAUUCUCUUCAUCUCUCCUAACCUUCAAUUUCUCUUCUUUCGACUGACCAAAGAACUUCCUCGAUGCCAAUUCCAUCUUUUGCCGCAAUUCCAAAUCUACCCCAUGAUAGAUCACUUGGAAAAAUCCCCAAUUCUUGCAGGCAUCGCCGAUCUGGGUAACUAAAAUUUCUGGGUUUGAUUCAGAAAGAUCGAUUAACGGGAUGCCUUCGGCUUCGAUGAUGGUAGGUUUAGGCCUGUGCUCAAUGGCUUGAAUGAAGCUUGGAUCAACUUCUCCCAUGGCUAAUUUAGAUAAAUAAUAUUAAUUAUAGUUAACUUGGUUGAGAGAUAGGUUGGUUGAGCGUAAUUGUUAAGGAAACGUAAUAGUGACACUAUAAUAUAUAGGAGAGAAAUGAGAAUAGUUAGAAUGAUUUAUUACAUUGAGUACGGACAUGAUUGUUGUUUAGUACCGGUAGUGGUGAGUAUAAAUUUAAUUUUGAUCAAUUAAUUAAUAUAUUAUUUAUAUGUAGAUAAGAUGUGAUUUUUUAUUUUUUUUUACGUAUUAAUAUUGUAUUAAUCUAUUGAUCAACCUACUAUUAAGUUAAUUUCAUAUUAACAGAAUCCUUUAUUAUCACUAUGUUUGAUUUUUUGUGACUUAAUAACUAAUUUUUUUAUGACUCUUAUACAGUGUUAUCUGAAACAUAAAACGUACAUAAACGUCGUAUGCUAUAUAACUAAAACACGAUGCAUUAAAAUAUAUUUAUAUAAAUUUUUAUAAUUAAAAAUUAUCUUAAAAUUUAAAUAUAAUAAAUCUAAAUUUUAUAAAAGAUUUUUAACUGAAUCAAAAAAUUAAUUGUUAUAUAAAUAUUUUAAGUACAAAUGUAAUAUUUGAUCGAUCGUGCAUUCAAUACUAAAUUAUACUUAAUAUUAAUAUUUGUUUCUACAGGAGAAUUAAUUGAUAAAUAAGUUAAAUGAUGGUGGGUCCCACAGUAGAAAUAAUUGCUAAAUAAGUUAAAUGAUGGUGGGUCCCACAGGAGAAAUAAUUGCUAAAUAAGUUAAAUGACGAUGGGUCCCACAGGAGAAAUAAUCACUAAAGUUUGCUGAUAAAAAAAUACAAAAUCUUUCGAGAAUUAUUCAUCAAUUAUUAUUAUAUAAUAUAUCUUCUCCAUUAUUGACCUAAUGUUAUGUAAUUUUUUAUUACUACUUUUGUUAUUGACCUAAUGAAAUUUUUCAUUACUAUUGUUGUGUUCACUAUUCAACACUAAAUAAAUACUGACAAUCAAAUCGUUCUCAACUCUUUUGUAAAAACAACGCCAAUUAAAUAAUUCAUUUUUCAUUGCUCCAUACCUGCAUUAAUUAGAAUAUCAUCAUCAAGAAUUAUACUGUUACUACUAAUUGCCUAUUCAGAUGAAGAACAUGAUCUUACUAGCUAGUACGUACUUCCAUGCAUGUCCUAAUUUAGAUGAAAAUUAAAUGAUUGUAAGAGUAACUCAAAAUUAAUAAUUUUGUUAAUUUGGAGAAAUUAAAUUAUAAAAAAUACCUGAACCAUGUCACCAACAUUGAUAAUAUAAGCAUUAGGAGUACCUGCAGGUGAUCACCCGAAUCCACUCCCCCAUCAGAUUUUCGCUUUACUUCAAGUCCUCCCACGUCGUCCUGAGCUAGAACGGUUAUUGCACUAGUAUCCUUGUGUCUACCAACACCAGGGGCUAGGUCACGAAAGGGGCAGUGUGGAUCAUGCAUGAGCCUGAUGAAGCUGGUCGAGUCUUUGAAGAAUCCACCAAAUCGGUUUGCUUCCAAGCCUAAACUCAGGGCUAUGAAUUCCAGUAAUUUGUAACAAAGUUUUUCCAUUUCUUGGGCAUAUUUUUCGCAUACCUCCCUGGUUCAUAAAAUCUAUGAAUUUGCAUCCAAGCUAGAAAUCAGAGACUGUAAAUAACUUAAAUUCACAAUUCAACCAAUAUAUCUAUCAUUGCUUAAACAAUUAAUAUUAUAGCCAGCUAGCUAGCUAGCUAGUUAUGUGAAAUGGAGUAUAAAUCAACUGAAGUUUGGUGGAUAUUGAGGCCACUGAUUAACCCACUCUUUUAUCUCUAAUUUGUCGUCAUCAGGCUCAUGUGAAUUGAAGCGAGCAUCAAGGUUGGAUUCUCAACAGUAAUAUCAAACACUUCUUUCCAGUCUCUUACAUUUUUAGUAUGCUCCUUAUCAUAAUAACCUAACGGGAUGCCUUCGGCUUCGAUGAUGGUAGGUUUAGGCUGGAUCAACUUAAUUCUCUCAAAUUAAUCUACCGGUAGUAGUUAAAUAUGUCGAGAGAGAUGCUGGGUGGGUGGUUUGUUUGUAAGAAAGGUAACAUACAUACGGGUGGAUAUACGGGGUAUAUACUAUAUACAUCGAACCUGGACAUUAUUUUUGUUUAUUAGUCCUAUGUUUGAUUUUUUUUACUUGGUAAAUUAUAAUUUUUGAGGGACGCCCAUGAAUGUAGCUCUCCCGGCGAUUGAAUGAUUGUGUCUCAAGAGUCAAGGGGUUAGCUCAUGCCUCAUGGUAUAUGUACCCCCUUCGUUAAAAACUAUGCCACAUGAUCUAAUAUUGUUAACUUCAAGGGGUAAGGGACAAGGAUCCUGUCCAUUUCAGCUUCCGUAUUUAAUUGUUGAGAAUUUAUAAAUUUUACUAUGCAAGUGCAUGUCACACUGAUGUGAUAAUUUGAUAUGUAUAUAAAAUCUACUAUCAACAGUAUAAUUAAAACAGAAACAUUUAGGUUUUGUUGCGGUCAUUGACUCAGUAGUACCUGCAUUGAGCUGUAAGUUGAACAAUUUAUUGAUCUCUGUACGUACACUAAUUUUUCCUUUAACAUCCAUCACAUAUACAGUAAUAGUAAUGCUAUGAUGACGUGAAAGGACGCCUAGCUAGCCAUAUUAAUGUACUUGACAUUACAAGUUUAUUGCCUGAAAUCAAGAGGCCGGGUUGACAUAUGACAACUAUUCUGAUAUCCUGAAAUGAUAUAUCUGGAGGUUUUCAACAUUGGAUUUCUUGAAAUUACCACGUUUUCGCGUAGCUGAAAAUUUACCCCAGCUAUACGCCCUAUACUUGGCUGGAUUUUCCUCAUUUGUUAGCUCAUCUAAAGGCUUCACCAUAGUUGAGUGAUUGGGGUUGAAGAAAAAUGGGAUGGAAAACCUUUCCUUCUUUGAGUUCACCAUUACUCUGUGCUCCACACUCUCGUACUUGUCAUUGCUCCAUACCUGCAUUCAUUUUAUUUUCAUAUGAGGAUUUUAAAAUUGAUGCAGUGCAAAUUGAAGUCCGAAAUUUAUGAAUAAAUUAUACCUGCAUUAUGUCACCAACAUUGAUAAUAUAAGCAUUACGAGUAGGUUUCACCCGAAUCCACUCUCCAUCAGUUUUUCGCUUUACUUCAAGUCCUCCCACGUCGUCUUGAGCUAGAACCGUCAAGGCACCGGAAUCCUUGUGUCUACCUACACCAAGGACUAGGUCAGGGACAGGGCAAGGCGAAUAGUGAUUCAGCCGGAUCGAGCUGGUCGAGUCUUUGAAGAAUCCACUGAACCGGUUUGCUUCCAAGCCUAAGCUCAAGGCUAUGAAUUCCAUUAAUUUGUAACACAGUUUUUUCACUUCUUUAGCAUAUUCUUCGCAUACCUCCCUAAUUCAACAAACCAAUUAAACACACUUGGCAUUUAAAAGGGGGACAACUUUAACAGGAGCGGACUAAAUACCGGUAUAUAUGUGAGUGAGAGUUACCACUCGAGUACCUAAAUUAUACUACCCUAGUUUUCUUUAGACCUUUUUACAAAAAUAUAAAUAUAUGGAUGUAAAUAACUUGUAAAAUAUGGAGAAAUACAUAUUUUAUUUAAUUUUAGAUUUUGGGUUUGAAAAUUUCAAACACGUCAAAGUCUUGUUCGUCUAAUAAUAUAUAAUUUAUUUCACAACUUAUUUAAUUCAUAAAUACAGUAUUUAAAAUCCAAACGACUAUAUAUAGCUUCAAACUAGAACCGACAAAUAGGUGGGUGCCGAGGACAUAAGUGGGUUUUGAUAUAUAUGGGUUGAGUUUAAAUAGGUUAUUGAAUGAGACCCAAUUCAUGUGAGUGAGGACUUGUGAAAAUAUCAAUUUCCUUUGUGGAAAUAUCAAUUCUCUAAAUUAAUAUAUAUAUGGAUUCCUCAUAUAUAUAUUCUGUAUAACAAAAUUCAUUUUUUUUAGUUUUUAUCUCAAAAAAUUUAUAAAAUAUAUUUGGGUGGACUAUCGAAAAUUAAAUUAUUGGUGUAGAAGAAAAGAAAUUAAAAAUUAUACAUGCAUCGCAGUAUAAAGAUCUCGAAGACAAGAUUGAAUUGCAUAAAUAAUCAGGAAUGAUUUGAUUAAAUAAACAGACAAACAGGCUACAGAAUAAAGAUCUAUUCAACAACUUGCAAAUAUUCAUGUACAUCAUGGUGCAUAGAAAUAUUUAAAUAGUAUGUAAAAUAUAUUAGUCAAUUGUAAGUUUUAUUUGUUUAAAUGUAUUAUUAUCUUUAAAAAUAUUUAAAUUAUUGUAGUAAUUUAGAAAGGAAGGGAUAUGCUAUUUUACCUGAAGUGUGGUGGAUAUUGAGGCCACUUAUUAACCCACUCUUUUAUGUCUUUGUUAUGAGGCUCAUGAGAAGCGAACAUCUGCGUGGGAUUAUCCACAUAAAAAUCGAACACUUGUUUCCAAUCUCUCACAUUUUUGGUAUGCUCAGUAUCAGAAUAGCCAAUUGAGAUCACUUCAUUUCUCCUCACCUUCAGCUUCUCCUCUUUGGACUGACCAAAAAACUCCCUCGAUGCCAAUAAAAUCUUUUCUUGUAAUUCUAAUGGCACCCCAUGAUUUAUGACUUGGAAAAAUCCCCAAUUCUGGCAGGCUUCUUCUAUUCGGGAAACUAAAAGUUUUGAAUCCGAUAUUGAAAGAUCGAUUUGUGGGAUCCCUUCGGCUUCGAUUAUACAAGGUUUCGGUCUGUGUUCAAUAGCUUGGAUGAAGCAUGGAUCAACUUCUUCCAUGGUGGUGUUGGUGGACACAAUUUAUAUACUACUAUUAAGUUUGUUGGUUUUGGUUUUGGUUGUAGGAAAGGUAAUUGUUCCACUGUAGUAGUAAUAUGUAGUAGGAUGAGAAAUGAGUGUGGUGGGGAAUACUUUGAAUCUGGACAUUAAUAUUUAAAAAACAACAGAAAGAAAAAGCAGAAACAUGAAUACAAAAAUAAUUACCAAAUGAACCCAAAAAACUUUUCAAAAUGAAGAAGGCCAAUCAAUUUUAUAUCAAGGUUCAAUUUUUUUUUUCUUUUGUUUUUUCUUCUUGGAUUAAGAUACAACCAUGAAUCUUCCAUUGCACGUUCACAAAAAAACAAUUACUUCCACUACUCCCACUCCCUUGAGACUUGGUAGUAAUUUACUUUUUCUUGCUUCCCAUAAUUGUGUUGCACCUGAUCUUUUCUACAAUUAAUUUCCUCAUGCAUGACGUAUCUUUGAAUAUUUUACAAAAUGGGGUACUUAUUUAAUUAUUUUAUAGAUUAAGAUUAUUGUACUGAGAAAUUAAGUAAUAUAAGUAUUUAAUUUCCACACUGAUCAUGUUAUUAAGAAUUUAUAAAAAUAUCACUAUAGUUUUUGUUAAAUAGCACCUCUUCUUUUAUGAGUUUUGAUCAAUUUUAGAAUUAAUUUAGACUCAUUAAUUGAUUUUCAAUUAAAAGUGCAUUUGAUAGUCUAAUACAAGGAGAUUAAGAGAGAACAUGACUCAAGUAGUAAUUAUAUAUUGUAUUUUAAUUAUAUCCAAAAUGAGGUAUAUAAAAAGGUUUAUUGUUGUUUUAAAAAACUAUAUUUUGUAAGUUGAACGUCGAUAUAAGAAAUAAAACUAUUUAAUGCUUUAUAAGUAUAAGUGAAACAAUUUAAUUUUUUUGUGGUACUAAAGGACAUGCACUUGGUCGCAAUGACGUGCUGCAAAGCACCACCUUCUCGCGACCCGAUAGCGGGUGUGAGUUUGCGUUGCAUUGGCGAUUAAGGCGCACUUUUCAAAUUCUCUCUUCUUACCCUCUUAAGGAGAUGGACUUCCCCUCCUGUUUUAACUCUUGUGUGUCUUAUUCUUCUUUCAAUUUCAAACUAUAUAUAUAUAUAUAUAUAUAUAUAUAUAUAUAUAUAGUAUAUCAAGUCUCAAACUACUCUCAAUUUUGUUAAUUAUUAUAUAUCAUUAUUACAUGCAUACAGCUUUGAACUAUUUAUUAAUCUUUGUACAUUACGUAACAUCAUAAUUCAUACCCCACUGAGUAAUUAUGUAUACUGCUAUCAUGAGGUGAGUGGCCGCCUAGCCAUAUGUAGUUGAGUGCAUCAAACUUAUAUGAAAUCAAGAGCUCACAAAGCUAGGUUGACAUGAUAAUUAUUCUGUUAUCUUGAAAUGAUAUAUCUGUAUGUUUUCAACAUCGAGUUUCUUGAAAUUACUAAGUAUUCGCGUAGUUCUAAAUUUUCCCCAGCUAUACGCCCUAUACUUGGCAGGGUUCUUCUCAUUUGUUAGCUCAUCUAGAGGCUCCACCAUAGUUGAGUGCUUGGGGGUGAAGAAAAAUGGGAUGGAAAACCUUUCCCUCUUUGAGUUCACCAUUACCCUGUGCUCCACACUCUCGUACUUGUCAUUGCUCCAUACCUGCAUUAAAUUACCAUCAAGAAUUGGCCUAAUCGUAUAUAUUUGAGAUAUGGAUCGAACACCUAACAAAUACCCUUGCAUGUGUCCUAAAAUGAAUAUUACCUAUUAAUAUUACUUUUAUUUCUGUAGAGAAAAUGAUUGCCAAAAAUUCUCCAAAUUAAUAGACAAAACACAAAAUCACGACGGUAGAAUAUACCUGAAUUAUGUCACCAACAUUAAUAAUAUAAGCAUUAGGAGUAGGUUUUACUCGAAUCCAUUCUCCAUCAGUUUUACGCUUUACUUCAAGUCCUCCGACGUCGUCUUGAGCUAGAACGGUCAAGGCACCUGGAUCCUUGUGUCUGCCAACACCAAGGGCUAGGUCAGGGGCAGGACAGGGCGGAUAGUGAUUGAUCCUGAUCGAGCUGGUUGAGUCUUUGAAGAAUCCAUUGAACAGGUUUGCUUCCAAGCCUAAGCUCAAGGCUAUGAAUUCCAGUAUUUUGUAACACAAUUU
rnacentral:lncRNA from 1 species